CUGAUAGGGUUCUUAAAAAUUAUUACUCCGACCACUUGAUUGUGGAUUCCGUUGCAUAGUUCUAAGACUUGGUGGUCUUUUCUCAAAAGGUUGGGCAACUGAAGAUGCUGUUGAAAUCAGUGCUGGAUCGAUGGAGCAGUUACCGGGGGGCCUUCGAGGAGAUCAACUGUCAGCUCAUGGACGCCAGGUACUCCCUGUCCCGAUUCCGCCGGCUGACCGGCUCCCUGGAAGCCGUGCAGGUUCAAGUGGACAGCCUCCAGAGUCUUCAAGACGAUCUAGAAAAACAGGAAGGGAGCUUACACAAGUUUGGCUCGGUCACCAGCCAACUCUUAAAAGAGUGUCACCCACCUGUGACAGAAACUCUCAGCAACACACUGAAAGAAGUCAACAUGAGGUAAGGAAUAUGUCAGUACACACUGCGACACGUGAUUUAUAUCACAACCUUGUUAUAAACUGUAAUGCU
rnacentral:lncRNA from 1 species